UUGGUUCUAACAUUGCUGAACUCGCUUAUUAUUAAUAGGUUGUUCUUUUUUCUAGAUAGAUGACUGUAUUAUCCAUUAUAAAUAAUGACAGUUUUAUUUCUACUUUUCUUAUCCUUAUACUUUCUUUCACUUCUUUCUUCUUUCCAAUACCUUUGGUCAGUUCCUCUGGAACUAUGUUAACGUGCAGUAGUGACAGCAGGCAUUCUCAUCUUACACCCAAUCUUAAAGGGAACGAAUCUAAUUUCUCACUUACCUAUAAUGCUUACUGAAGGUUUUUAGUAUCAAACCUUUACCAAAUUAAGAAAGGUUCUUCUACUUCUACCUUGUUGUGCAUUCUUACCAUAAAAAACUACUGAACUUAUACAACAUUGUAAAUCAACUCUAUUUCCAUUUAAAAGAAAAAACUGUGAAAACCAAGGAGAAGAGCACAGACAAUAUGUACAUUAUUCACCAUGGUUGUGUCCAAUAAAGCUUUAUUUACAAAAAAAGGCAGUGGGCCAAACCUGGCCCAUGCACAUUACUGUGCCAACCCGACAUAAUUGACUCUAUUUCUUAUUAUCUUCAGCUUCCAGGAAAUUGAAUUACUAGGUAUUACAUUACCAAAGUGCCUUCCAAAAAGACUAGCAUUUACUCUGUCACUCGCAGUUUAUGAGACUGCUCCCCUCACCUCACCUUCAUCAGCCUUGAGUUUUAUCACUGCUUGAAAUCCUUCAUAAUUUGAUAGAUAAAACAUGGUAUCUCAUUUUGGUUUUAAUCUGCAUGUCUUUUAACUGGUGAGACCGAACUCUUUUUAAUAUUUUCAUAGCAUCCUAUAUGCCCUCUUUGUUAAAUUAUCAAUUAAUACUACCCUCCUACCCUGCAGUGGACAUGGCACAUAACCCCAAAGUGCAGCUCUGUGUUUCACGCUCCUGAGCGUGUGGGGAUUGUCUGUUAGGGUCAGAGGACCCUCACUUCACACAUCUUUGCCCGUAUCUCUAGUGGGGAGCAUGAGAAGUACUGCUGAUGUUAGCCAAAGUCCUUCUUUCACUUUAGCAACACGCCCCAAUAUAAAUCAGGCUCAUUCCAGACUCUGUUCUAGAUAGGCAGGUAUGGCACGAGGCAGGGGUCCACAGGAUGCAGAAGGCUGUGUGGCACCUCCCAGAGGUACCCCUGGGAGUCUGGGAAGGACGCACUCACCUUCCCCUCUGUUGAUCGAUCCUCCUGCCAAGAACAUGGCUGAGAUGCGGUAUGCUCUGGGAGCCACCUGGACAGGAAGCCAGGAACACCCGGGAACGGGAGAGUGGUUCCACUGCAGAGCCCGGUCGCUGGGGAUGUCACAGAGCCACCAGGACUGCUCGUCCACUCUAGACUCAUUCACAUCAGGCAGGAAUAGCCCCUCCUGCUGAAGUCACCACUUUCUGCUGCUCACAGCUAUGCUUACUACUGAGGGGCAGGGUGGGCAGGGAACUGUACUGUUCUUGAUUUAUGAGGUCAUUAUAUUAGCGGCUUGUCAACAGGUGUAAGAUAACUCUUGUUCCCAGGUUUUUAGUGUUUUUUAUUUUCAACUGCUUUCAAUGUUGCUUAUGUUUCCUGACCUCCAAGUUUUAAACAUUUUCGGUACUCAAGUCUGUUUUUUUCCUUUUGAUCCUCUAUUUUCCUUAUUCUUAGUAAGCCUUCAUUUAACUUUUUAAAAAAGGAUACAGUUUCUGUAAGUGGAUCCAAGUUACUAAAAGAAACAAGAAAAAUGUCAACAGUAAGCAGUGUUUACAAAGCCAGUUUAAAUAAGGAGACUACAACUAAAAAUAACAUGCACAGGGAAAACAAAACAUGUUAAAUCCACAACUUUAAAACCAACUUUACAGCUAAGAAAGAUGGUUUAAUUUACCUAAUGACCAUAAUGAGCUAUCAUCACAGCCACUAUAAAGACAUCUGUACAUUUUCAUUUAACUGCUGCUUCUUUACAAAUUAUAGUUAAUACAUCAUCAAAACCUUCCUUUUUGCUUUUUCCUUUGGCUGCACCAAGUGGCUCGUGGGAUCUUAGUUCUGGACCAGGGACUGGACCCAGGCCCGAAGCAGUGAGAGCACCGAGUCUUCACCACCGGACUGCCAGGGAAGUCCCUAAAACCUUCCAUUUUCUAAAUGGCAAUAAACUGUUACCGGAACUGGGGACCAAGCUGGCAUGUCAAUCACAGAUGGGGUUACUACUGCAACACCCUACUCCAGUGAUUCUCGGAGUUCUUGAUGGAAGUGCCCUAAUCAAAGUGAGAAGUAGGAGAAAACGAGGAGGGAGAGGAGCUCCCCUAUUGGCAUAUUCUGAAGAAGACUUCACAAGCUACAUGAUUCUCGGAAAUCAAAUGUUUUGUUAUAAAUAAAUGGUCAUGCUUA